CCAGUCACCAGCUGGCCUGGCUUGCUGUGUGCUGGCACUUGCACACACCAUCAUGUAUCCUGCGUGCUGGUUCCUUCAAGUGCUGGGGCUCAGGGUUCCCUCCAAGUGCUGCUGCUUCCACUUCCUUACAUGCCCCAGGCAGCAAGCAGAGCCCCUCAUCAGGAAGACAGCUAUAAAGAGAGCUCAGUCAGGAGACAUGGAGUGGCCAGAGUGGCACCCCAGUGCCCUUUUUGUCCCCUUUUCCCUCUGUUUUUCCAUGCUUUUUCCUCCCCGGACUGCACUGGUCCCUCCCUUUCCACCCCUCUUUGUUCUUCCCACAGACAUCCCAUGAUAAGCCCUGUACAAUCCCUGAAGGUUCUUCUUGGCAUCCCCUAGCAAGUCCUGUGUGCCUUUGUGUAAUCAUGCCUUGUGUUUUCUGGACAGACGAGAGUGCUGCGCCCCUUGGGGCGGAUGCAGGGGCCCUGGGGGGUGUGUCAGCGUCUGAUCCCAGUGCUAUCCUGUCCUUUCCUGCCCACUGUCUCUGGAACACAAACAUUGAACAAUACAUCAAGAAUGUUGCUUUUCUAUUUCUUUCCAAUAGCUGUAGCCUGCAGGACAGGCUCCUGUGCUGAUACUGGAUGGAAAGACUGCUGAAUAUUUUUACCACAAGACUACAGGAAUGGUGAGUUAUAACUCUGGCAUUUCAUGACAACUUUUUCUUGGUAAAUUAUCCCCUUCAUGUCUAGUGUUCAGGGAUUAUGUGCUUUUUUUAAGUAUAUGUGAUAUUUUUAGAACACUAAAAGAAUGUCUAAUUUUAGUAGCUUUUGCAACACAUUACUCAACUCAGACUGCAACAGGGAAGAGUUCACUCCUCUGAGACAACUUUUUCCUACCAACACACACUCUCCCAUUAAGGCUGGAAGAGGGGAAGAGCCCACGCUGUCUUGUUUCAUAGCAUUUCCUUCCCUUCAUUGCUGCUGCCCGGCACAGGGAGGGAGCUGUGGUGGCCAGAGCCACUGCUCUUAUGUUAACAGCUGCCACAGCCACAGGGGCUGGGAUACACCUGGGUCAGUGCAAAAAAAGCCCUAUGCACCAAGGUGAUGGGGCUGCUGUGGGCAGGCUGCCUGGUAGGGGUGCUGUCCCAGCCAGGAGUUGGUGCCAAGCCAAUAAGCAAACAGAGUCAGAAUCCUACAGAGAUCCUUUAUUCUUAGCAACCUAUGGUGCCCGCAGCUCAGCACGUGGACACAUUUCCUUUGAGAUUUGAGGAAGAAAAGCAUUUGCAUGUGCCUUAACUUGCUUCAACUUGUUUGACCCAGGUCUAGCACUUAGCAAGGCCCCUGCGGGGUUUGCCCAUGGCCAGGCUGUUUUCCCACCUCCCCAGCCCAUACCUGCAGCUGUACCAUCUCCUCCAAACAUUGCCCAGUGGAGCCAUCAUCAACGCCCCUUGCACUGGCCAGAGGAAGAGAAACCAGAUUUUUCCUUCAGACUGCAGCUUCGGGAAGGGGGCCUGGCUGCCAUGACACGGGCAUGGCCGUGAGCCAGCCCUCCCCUUGCCCUAGCUCCCCCACCUACGCAGGGCAGGAACAUCCCUCUGGGACAGACACAUUUUCUCCUCGGGGCAGCGCCAGUGACAACCACAGCGCAGGAUGUCUCUCGCUCGCCGUCUCCCCGUGACUCAACUAGGUCAACCGAAGGCAGGCGGCAGGCAAGCAAGGAGGCAGCCGUGGUGCAAGUGGGGUUUUCUCAGCUUGUGUUACUCCCGGCAGGAUUAGCACCAUAAUAAUUGUUAUAAUGGGUAAAUAGUAUUUAUGAUUAUGACUCAUCAGUGACAACACUGCUGUCUAAAAAAUCAGCGUAGGUCUGAAUAGAGAUGUUGGUUGCUACUGGAAAAUAAAGCCCCUGUGUUUUUAUGGGGCACCCACACUUGUCUGGCUGUUGUGAUGCACCAGCCCUGCUUGGCAGGCAUUGCUUUCCUACAGUAACACUGGAGUGAGUGGGGACAUUUUAAACCCACUGUCCCCAAGGCAUUGCAUCAGGUCAGCAGGAGAGUCGGAAGAGCUUCCUUUUGAUCUGCUUUUCUUUCCGGUAUUUGUUUGAUAUGUUUUUUUUACUGUACUUAAGCUGCAGAGAAACCAGCAUUUUUGCUGGGUGGGGGGGGAAAAAAGGUAAUUGGUGGUUGAAAAAAAAUAUUCUAAAAAAUCCCAGAGAAGUUCAACUGAUAAUGCAGUGGAGUCAUCUGCAUAGCGCUAGGAGCGGGCGCACUCAUGUCUCUCCAGCCAGUGAUAUCAUCAAUACCACUAUGACUUGUGCAGAAUAUAGGAUGGAACAAACAGAAGUGCCGGUGUUGGCUGGAAACGUUCAGGUGCAGUGUGUGCCUGCAGGCAGGGCUGUGGCCAACCAGAAGCCCAAGUCACAUAACGGCCUCUGGCCAAGAGCCACACUUGGGUGCUAAACUCCCCCAGCAUCUAGAGAGAGCCAUGGCACCUUUUGGCAGCCCUCCAGCUUACCAUUUUAUCCAGCGAAUGAUCAGUUUAAGCAAACUUUGUCAUUCCUAAUUGCUGCAACGCAUCAGCCACCUUUGGCCAAGCCCUGGCCAAGGAGGGCGGGCAGGCUGCCUGCCUGCCUGCAUCUUUUCCCCAUCUCAAAUCCAGCCCUAGCACAGACUGCUAAAUGUCAGGAUCCCAUCCUCAGCUUGACUCCGGUGCAGAGAUGUGAUCUGGCCAUGCGGAAGGCGGUGAAGUGAUGAGACUGGCUUUCAGACUUGCAGGCAUGGGGAAGCUGCUGGAGGUACCUGCUGUUUGGGAAGCCAGCUCCUCCGCAGCAGAUGGCUGCAGCAAAGGAAUCACGUAAGUUCCCAGGAGAGUACACUUGUGGUUACUCAGCACCAAGUCACGUGUCCCAGCUGGUACUGACUCCAAGAGAAAGGAGUUUGUUUGUCUUGGGUUUCCUGUGGGUUCUUGCAAUAUGAAUUCCCUUAAGUUACUGGAUCUUGACUUUCUUUGAGACUAGUGCUCUCAUUUACUGCAUGCAAGGUCCAAGAGAGGAUAAACUACAGGAAAUGACCACGAGGAGCAGCAGUGAUGGGAUGGUGAUGGCUCUGUCGUGCAUCAACCUGACAAGGUCAGCCACAGCCGUCCUCACGGAGGGCAGCCAAGGUGCUCCAGGUGCAACUGAGGUAACAGCUCCUUCCCUCACAGUCCCCACGUUCCUGAAAGCAGUACUGUGUUCCCAUAAAAGCUGUAACAACUUGGAUGUUUUGAAAGGUCCUCACCAGCGUUGAGGGGCUCCAGACAGUGCCACACUGCUGUGUUGCAGUAUUGCUUCUUGUCAGGCUUGCAUGUGAGUUUUUUUUCUUUAGUCCUUCACCAAGAUUCUACCCCACUGCAAAGCACAUCUCAUCUGUGCAGCUGUCUUUGGGAAAUGGGCUUUUAACCUACUUUAUUAUUUUUAAAAAAAGGAAAUCUGCAAACAUGGCAUCUGUGGUGCACAGCACAGGCCUUGGGGUGUGAGACAAUGUCACAGGCUCAAGCAGUUCUCACCACUAACCUGUCCCCUGCAGGUCUGUGCCCAGAGCUGUGCCAGUGCUGGGUUAUGCUUUCCCUGCCCUUGACGUCCCCAGCCCCAACCCUGCCAUCGCUGCCAGCUCCAUGCCUGCGACCCCAGUGACUGUGACCUUGCAACCUCAUCCCGUUAUCUGGCCAACAGCCAUGUCACAUCUUCAUCAGCCUUUGCAGGAGUGUUUCCCACCCUGCAUAUGGCUGGUGGCUGGCUGUGGCCUCAGCCGGGGGCUGCAGCCUUGGGUCUCUGCCCCCUGGUGCUCUGACUCACCAAGAUGAGUCUGAAAGAAAGAGCUCUCAUAAAAUCUACAGGAAGACGCCUGCGAAGAUAGAGAUCUCAUUUACCCAGACACCACCCAGCAGAUAAAAAAGCAGCACUCUUGUGCCCAGCAAGACCCAAGACCUGCUCCCCGGGUAAGCUCUGAGCCAGGAAGGUGUAGAGCGCAGCAGGGACACGAAGCGGUGAGCUUCAGGCUAGUGAUCCCAGGAGAGAAUUGGACUUGAGAUGAGGUACUUCAAAAAUAGAAAACUCAUGUCUGAAAUGAGCAGAAAAACCACAGAUAGGGACAGUGUGAAGAUGUGGCUAAACUGCUGAGGAAUUCCCCCGAUGGAGUGCACCACGGCAGCAGCCCCAGCCGCUGCCUCCCAGCCCCACGCGGCCACCAUGGAGCCAGGGGGAGGCUCGGGGGGAUUUCUGCAGGGACUAGGGCAGCACGUGGGGACACAGAGCCUCCCGCAGCAGCCCCACCUCACAGCUCCAUUUCUCCAAAUGGUAAGUGAGCUAGGGUAGAGCAUGCACCUGCCUCAGCAGUGCAAGGCAGGUGGCACUGCUACCAUGCCCCGACAUGCCUUAGACAUGCCUCCAUGCUCUGCUAUCUGAAAGGAUCCUUAGUACUUCUUCCCUCCCUGCUUUCAGUUCUGAAAGCAGUCGUAGCUCCGUGCCUCAGACACGGCAGGAAACACUCCCACGAUGCCCUCAGCGCCCAGGCAAGGGGUCAGCCUGGCCCCUGACAUCAGCCCCACGCAGAGGGCAGCGUGAGGCUGAGGCUGCAUUUCCAGAGGGACUAGAUGGUUGUUUUGAGAAAACACUGACAGCUGGGGUUGUUCCAGCCCCACAGCUGUCUGCUUCAGUGCAGGCUCUGAGGGGGAGCCACUGUUUUUUUAUUCCUUUACAGUUGCCAUUGUCGGAAACCAUUAAGGAACAAGCCAGCAAAGGCCCGGAAAGAUUCCAUGAGUAACGAUCUUGGAGCUUUGCCCAGGUUUAAUAAAAGAAUAACAAACAACACGAAUAAAAGGAGAGCAGGCAGUGCGCAAGCGGUCUCCAGUGGAAGCAGGUUCUGUGAAGUAAGUCCAUGCUUUUGGUUAUUUUUUACAUACUCCCUUUGUACUAGGAGCAAAAUCAAGUGUUGUUAAGUGUCCGUUUCUGAGCCUGGGACGGGCAGAAGCAUUGGGGUACUAGAAGCACACCCUUAUUGCACCACCAGGAGAGGCACCCCUGGAGCUAUGCUCUGCCUGCAGCUCUCCAGAGCUCCCGGCUCAUCACGGUGCUGCCCCACGCGCCUCAGGGCUGAGCUAGAGGUGCCUGCAGUGCUGGGUGGGCCCCAAGGCAGGCAGGCACAGCUCACGGCCCUGCGGAGCUCAGCUGAGGCCAAGCCUGAAUCCAGCCCCGCAGGGCGCUGCGGGAGAAGGCACGGGCUCACUCGAGGAGCUUCAGAAAGGGGAAACGUCGCGUUAUUCCACAGCACACGCAGAAGCACGGCUGUGGUUAAGCACCAGCUCUGAGGUAUUGCUCAUUUGCAUCGUGUGCUACCUCAGGCGCUUUGAUGUCUCACGUGAGGUUCUGGUGCCCAGGGUGCCUGGAGCUCCCGCACAACCCAGCAGGACAGCUGUGCCUCUGCUUCUCUCCGGGCCACCUGGGUGGCUGUGUGCCCUGCUCCAUCCCUGUCCCCGCAGCAGCAAGUUGAGCCGGCAGCAGCGCAGCACCCAAAGGACACAGCAGUGCUUCCCCAUUGCCAGCAAGGGAUCCAGGAUCAGGAUUUGGCUGUUGAUGGCAAUUGGCUCUUCAGGGACCAGCUCAUCCCUUGAGUACUGAAGUGGGGCACAGCAUUCCAUAUGUGGCACACAGACUUCUUGGCCGCUUCAAACCCCAAGGUAUGAAUGCAUCCACCAAGCCCUUGGGAGCUGGGACUGCCCAUCUGGGGUGAGCCAUACCACUGAACCCACAGUAGGGCACAGCUGGGCUGAGCAACAGACCCCAGGACACAGUGCCUUCAGCAUGGCAGGGCACAGUGGCCAUUCAUCACCGCCAGCAGUGACCACAGCUGCUGGAAGGGUGAGCAGGGCUGCAUUGGGUGCUGUGUGUGUGCACGUAUGCCUGCACCAAGGCGUUUGUCUUUUCCUCUUUUGUUUUUUCCACCCGUGGGCGUCCUGAAGACUCAAAUAAUGCAAAUUGCCCUCGUCAUUGCCCAAGUGGGGUGAGGAGAGGCCAGAGACCCUGAAACCAGAAGUAACAUGCAAGGCAGAGGGUGCAGCACACGGCUGGAGGGGCAUGUCCUCACUCUGGCUGACAGAGCCCAUGGGGUGAGUGGCAACUGCCUACACACUGCAUCCAGUCCAGCGUCUACCACACCGUGUCUUAGUUUUGAAAUCGAGAGCUCGGCUGACAGUCCAUACACGUAGCUCCCUAUGCUGUGUUUUUCUUGGCCACUCCAGGAACAGUGUCAGGAACCUGCAGCACAACCCCUCCUCUGCACGCAGGUGAAGGGGAAUGCAAUAUUCUCGCCCACUCAUUCAAUUCCUUCCGUCCUGCCACGCCAGUGCUUUGCUGUUUUCCCUUGGGAACAAGGAUGCUGAAGAUGGCAGGACCGCACCAGCUGUUUUGGAAACAGGAUGCCUGCAUUUGGGUGCAGCACGAGCUCUGCUUGAGUGCGUCAGCAGUGCUGCCUUCACAGCAGGCAGGAGUGAAACUGAGAAAUCUGAAGCGGAGGGAUAAUGCAGCCACGGCAUGAACAGCUCCAGGACGCUCGGCUGAGCCGUGCGUGGGGGCGUGGGGACAGGCCACAGCACCUCCUCACCAUUCAAAUGCGGGCCAGAGAAGGGAGCUGUGUCUCAGCAAGGCACCUAGCACAGGGGGCACAGGCUGCUCCAUGGGGCACCCACAGCUGUAGGGCAGGAACAGGGCCAGCUGGUGAGCAGCAGCCAAGGAAGCACAGCCAGUCACAGUAUGCUCACACAAUGAUGUGGGACAUCGGGCCCGGAGGGCCACCAAUGCCCAAAGUUGGCAGAAGCACAGCUGUUGCUCCCCAGGGCUCUGCACAGUGCCUGUGGCAGCUCUGGAGGAUACACCAAGCCCAGCUCUCCUCCAGCCUUGGACAGAGAUGCACCUCCCCUCUUCUCCUGAUGCAGUCCUGACAGGACAGGAGGGUAACAAUCAGGCUUCACAAUGGCCACGCCAUGCAAGGCAGCUGCCCUCCCUCUGUGCUCCAAGAUACAUGCUCCUGGAGCUGUUGCUCACAGGCUCCCUGAAAAGCUAAGGAGUCCAGACAGCUUACUCAAUAGGAGGGAAGCACACAGCUGCAACACAGGAGAAUGCCAGUGGUGAGGUGCUGACAUAGGUAGCCCAGAGGAGCUGAAGGUGCCCAAGGCCAGGUUGGAUGGCACCCUAGGCAGCCUGAGCUGAUGGGGGGCAGCCAGUCCCCAGCAGGGGGCUGGAACUGGGUGAGCAUUCCAACCCAAGCCAUUCUGUGAUUCUAUGAAAGCCUGCUAAAGUCCAGAGGACUGUUAUAGCUAAAAACCAGCCCCCCACUGUUGUGAGCAGAUGAGGAUGGAGAAAAAGGUGGUAGGUGAGCAUUAGUCUGAAACCAGAACUUAAUCUGUUACAGGCUUUAAAAACAAACAAAUAUGAAAAACAAACAAAUAUGAAACAAUCUUCUGGUGAAUAUUUUGGAGAAAGUGAGGGCAGAGGCAAAUAUAAAGCAGGCUGCUCUGCCUUGUGAUUUCUUUCUGGUGGGAAAAUAGCAUUUCUAAUUAGAAAUGAAAGUCUCAGUGGAAAAUGUCUGAAAUGUUGCUUUUCCCUAGAGCAACACGAGAGUAUCAUCUGCUACCAUCAGCAUUUCAUACAGUUUAAUAACAAAGUACAAAUAUCUGAGAAUCAAGGCUGUAGUUCACAGCAGGGCUUUGUGCCAAACUCCUCCAGAACAACACCUACCCCCUCCUGGCUCUGCCAAACCCCAGCUGGAGGAUCCACUCCUGAGAUAGACAUCAAGUGACCUGGGAGACUGCACCCCAAAUCACCUGUACUGCUGUCAUCUAGCAGACAAAUGGGAAGACCUCAAGCAGGCUCAUCUACCAUCAGCUGCAGCAAGGUGACUGUUCGCCAGGGCCAGGCCACCAUGUAGGAUGUAGCAGCAGCUUACUGCAUGGCAUGUGGUAAGAGGCAUAAGGAAGAAUGAGGAAAAGGGGCCACGGCUGGGACUUGGAUAGGAACACAGCUGCUACACUCCAGAACAAGGGCCAAAGGUCAUCCAAGGGCUUUAAAAGGUUAUGGGCUGCUCUAUGGCACGACCCGCAGCCCUUCUUGCAGGCAAAGGUGGCCCCAGCUCCUUCUCUUCUUAUCAAAGUAGAGUUUCAGAAGUGGCGUGUCAUUGCACAGAAACAGAUAUCUGAUUCCGGGCACUUUUAAAUGCAACAAAGACAUAGAAAAACCCACCAACAGGAAACUGGUUUCAGAAAUUCAAAUGGAAACAAUGCUUUAAUAAUAACUAGCCCUUUUAUAACAUACAGCAGUCAAGGCAGUCAUUGAGCUGACACUUGUCCUCUUCAGUCAUGAUCCCUGGGGCACCACUCAGACACCAAGCCAGAGGUAGCCAGGCGAGCCCUCGAGCACCUUCCUGGCCAGCCAGCAGCAAAGGGGAAGGCAGGAUGUGGGACAAAGCUUUCAAGUUCUUUCAACGUGCUGUACCCUGACUGUUACAGGAGGGCCAGUGCUUCAACAAGAGACCCAGGGGCAGCUCGUACCGCUCAAACACAUAAUCCUUUUAACUUACAUGGCCCUCAAACAGAGCAAGUCCAGGCCUCCGAGACUUCACAUGAGCAUCCUCAGGCUCAGGAGAGUCUAUGAAUGUGAAAACCCCAUCAGCCAGAUGCUAUCUAGAGACAAAUUCAUUUCCCAGCAAUAAAUUAAUGUAAAAUACUGUAAAAGAGAA